rnacentral:rRNA from 1 species
UACGUAGGGUGCGAGCGUUAAUCGGAAUUACUGGGCGUAAAGCGUGCGCAGGCGGUUUUGUAAGCCAGAUGUGAAAGCCCCGGGCUUAACCUGGGAAUGGCAUUUGGGACUGCAAGGCUAGAGUGUGGCAGAGGAGACUGGAAUUCCUGGUGUAGCAGUGAAAUGCGUAGAGAUCGGGAGGAACACCCGUGGCGAAGGCGGCUCACUGGGCCGGUCCUGACGCUGAGACGCGAAGGCGUGGGGAGCGAACGGG